GACAGAGGAUGCAAGCGUUAUCCGGAAUGAUUGGGCGUAAAGCGUCUGUAGGUGGCUUUUUAAGUCCGCCGUCAAAUCCCAGGGCUCAACCCUGGACAGGCGGUGGAAACUACCAAGCUGGAGUACGGUAGGGGCAGAGGGAAUUUCCAGUGGAGCGGUGAAAUGCGUAGAGUAUUGGAAAGACCACCGAUGGCGAAGGCACUCUACUGGGCCAUUACUGACACUGAGAGACGAAAGCUAGGGGAGCAAAUGGG
rnacentral:rRNA from 1 species